rnacentral:rRNA from 1 species
AUACGGAGGAUGCGAGCGUUAUCCGGAUUUAUUGGGUUUAAAGGGAGCGUAGGUGGGAUAUUAAGUCAGCUGUGAAAGUUUGGGGCUCAACCUUAAAAUUGCAGUUGAUACUGGUUUCCUUGAGUACGGUACAGGUGGGCGGAAUUCGUGGUGUAGCGGUGAAAUGCUUAGAUAUCACGAAGAACUCCGAUCGCGAAGGCAGCUCACCGGGCCGGAACUGACACUGAUGCUCGAAAGUGUGGGUAUCAAACAGGAUUAGAUACCCUGGUAGUCCACACAGUAAACGAUGAAUACUCGCUGUUUGCGAUAUACAGUAAGCGGCCAAGCGAAAGCAUUAAGUAUUCCACCUGGGGAGUACGCCGGCAACGGUGAAACUCAAAGGAAUUGACGGGG